UGAAGACCCCCCAUUUUACAGUUGAACCCUUAGAAAUACUAUGGCUUUAACCAACAGGAGCUGUAGGAGGCACAUUUGGACACGAUCGUGACCCCACACAGGCUCCAACCCGACAAUAAGCAUGACUUGACAUAGACUUAGUAAACAGUCAGAAGAUGUCAGACAAAAGCAGGAUUUAUAGAAGAGAGACCUCAGCAUAGCUCCUGAACAAAGACAGGGACUUUAACAGGAUCGUGUUCCCCGGGAGGAAUGAGAAGCCGUCAAUAUGAGAAGUGGGUGUGCUUCUACAGAGAGCUGGAUGGAAGGGCACGGCAGCAGCUUUAGCCUUCAGUUCAACAACAGCUCAGAACUGGUUUAUUGCACUUGUUGAGAUCUUUUCAUUAUGCAAGCAGAAGGCUUUCAAGAUAAUCUAGCUUGGAUGUAACAAUUUUUUAUUAAUAAAAAUCGAGGUACAAAUUAAAAGCACA